GAAGUUGGAAUCGCUAGUAAUCGCGAAUCAGAAUGUCGCGGUGAAUACGUUCCCGGGUCUUGUACACACCGCCCGUCACACCACGAGAGUUUACAACACCCGAAGUCAGUGGCCUAACCGCAAGGAGGGAGCUGCCUAAGGUGGGGUAGAUGAUUGGGGUGAAGUCGUAACAAGGUAUC
rnacentral:rRNA from 1 species